rnacentral:rRNA from 1 species
ACCUAGUUAAUUCUGCUAGUAGUUAUAUACUUGUCUUAAAGAUUAAGCUAUGCAUGUCUAAGUAUAAGCAAUUAUACCGUGAAACUGCAAAUAGCUUAUUAAAUUAGUUAUCGUUUAUUUAAUAGUACCUUACUACUUAGAUAACUGUAGUAAUUCUAGAGCUAAUAUAUACUAAAAACCCUAACUUUAGAAGGGGUGUAUUUAUUAGAUAAAAAACUAACGCCCUUUAGGGCUUCUUAGUAAUUCAUGAUAACUUUACGGAUCGCAUAGCCUUGCGCUAGCAAUAGUUCAUUUAAAUUUCUACCCUAUUAACUUUUAAUAGUAAGGUAUUAGCUUACCAUAGUUUUAACAGGUAACAGGGAAUUAGGGUUUAAUUCUAGAGAGGGAGCCUAAGAAACGGCUACCACAUCUAAGGAAGGCAGCAGGCGCACAAAUUACCUAAUCCUAACACAGGGAGGUAGUAACAAUAAAUACUAAUAUAGGGCUCUUUUAGGUCUUAUAAUUAGAAUAAGUACAAUUUAAACCUCUUAACAAGGAACAAUUAGAGGGCAAGUCUAGUGCUAGCAGCCGCAGUAAUUCUAGCUCUAAUAGCGUAUAUUAAAGUUGUUGCAGUUAAAAAGCUUGUAGUUAAAACUUAGGUCUAGCUGGCAGGUCCGCCUCACCGCGUGUACUUGUCUAGCCGGGCCUUCCUUCUAGAGAACCUUAUGCCCUUUACUAGGCGUGUUAGGGACUAGGACUUUUACUUUAAAAAAAUUAGAGUGUUUAAAGCAGGCCUUUGCUUGAAUACGUUAGCAUAGAAUAAUAGAAUAGGACGUGCGGUCCUAUUUUGUUGGUUUCUAGGACCGCUGUAAUAAUUAAUAGGGAUAGUUAGGGGCAUUAGUAUUUAAUUAUUAGAGGUGAAAUUCUUAGAUUUAUUAAAGACUAACUACUACAAAAGCAUUUGCUAAGGAUAUUUUUAUUAAUUAGUGAACGAAAGUUAGGGGAUUAAAGACGAUUAGAUACUAUUGCAUUACUAAAAUAAGAGUACUUACGGUAAAUAUAAAGGGUGCGGGAUUAGAAAAGAUAUAGCAAAUAAUGGCCUAUCUUAAGGAUUAAAAAGCUAAGGUAGCAAUCUUAACUAAAACCCAUCUCACGCUUAAUUAAAUGAAUAGUGUAAAUGAGAUGUAUGGAGACGCAUUAUGGGUCUCUAAUGCUCCCUACUAGGAUUCCUGUGGGGUUACUAUUGUAAUACUUAAUAAACACUUAGUCCUAAAUUAAACUAUUAAAACCAUAACAAUAGAUACAGAUGGUAGAUAGCUAGGGGUGAAGUUUACUUAUUAUAGGAAAGAACUUACAGUAAUAGGCAUAUAUGCCCUAAAUGCUAAAACUAAAAGUGUGGCUUACUUUAAAAGGUUAGCAGAUGAAAUACAAAAUCUACAACCUAUAAUAAUAGCAGGAGACUGGAAUAAGACUUCUAUAGCUAAGGAUUGAAAUCUAGCUAGAUUAGAAGACUUAAGAAUCCUUAAAGCCCUAAAUAAGGCUGUACACCCUUCUAACUUUAAAGAUGGAUAGCAAAAGACACAUCGAAAUAAAAGGUAGUAUACCUUUUGGGCAUCUAAUACCCUUAGGUCUGCAAGUCGCAUUAACUGUAUCUAUAGUUGUAACAGCCUUUAGGGUCGCACUAGUAAGUAGACUAUUAGAAUAAAGCAACCAUAGACUAACUACGCUGCUGCAAUAACUGAAAUUGCAGUAGGAGGUUAUAUAAAAAUGGGCCUAAGUUUUUAGAGAAUGAAUACAGAUUUAACAAAU